AGCUCCUGCAGGUCCCGAGAGGCUGUUUUUGAAGAGAUUGCGAAGUUAGACAGCAGUUCCUAUUUUCUGUAAGUAAACAUCUGCUGUAGAAGCAACUCCAAACCUACAAACACACCACUUUUUCACAGUAAGCCUCAGCGCUAGAUAGGAACAGUGAGGUAUCUGCGCUGGAUUGCAGUCAUUUUAAAAUACGUCUUUAAAUCUGUUCCUUCGUGCAUUAGAAUCUCUGCAUGUGAACCGGCGGCUUGGUUCACAAGCAACAGUUAUCGCCCACUGAAAAACACACCUUCCUUAAACAAAAGAUACUUUUUGUUCCCACGAAGCUUUUUCUGCUGCCAUAUCCAGCAACAAAUGACACAAAAGACAAACUCCGCCAUCCUCAAGAGUGGUGUCAGGCGAACAGAAACAGCAAACAAAAUAACAGCAAAAGCUUCAGAAACAAAACCAAGCACCCGGAGAGUGCACAGCACGCAAAAUCGAGUUUUGUGACUAAGACUGAUUGAAUGAGAGUAACACAAGUUUGUUCGGGACACAGUGGGGCCACUCAACCAAAUCCGGAAAUUAUACAAACGAUAAAUAACAACUCCUUAAAAUGUUUUAAGUGCGUUUGGCACAAAAGUUUAUGGUUAUUCACAGGAAGCAUCUUAUCAAUUUAAUAUCACCACGUUGCAGGCUGUGCACCCGUCUCGUCAUAAUCUCUUUUAAGAAAACCGCUAAUGACCCGGAGUGCUGGAAGCCUAAAAACUGUUGUCAUCUAUCUCCCAGGACUGUGGGCCUGAUAGUGUCACGAGCAGAAACCAACUAGCGGCCAGAAGCCCAGGAGUCCCCGGCGAAUUGUUUCGAAGCACAGUCCCCACAAUCCGCGUGCUUGGGCGAAAGGACUGGAGGUGUGUGCGCGGUCCCUCCGCCCUCCGGGCCGCGCGUCCGCAGCGCUCCAGGCUGUCAGGACUCCUCUGCUGUCCAGCAGGUUCUGCUGUGUCCCCAAACAUGUACAACAGGAAGUGCUGUAACUUGGACUCUAGGGUUUCAAACUCGGAAAGUGUUAGCCCCAUCCUUCAUCCUAUGGGUAGAAAAAGCAGAAGCUAAUCAGCACCAAGAGAAAGGAAUAAAGCAGACCUGUAGAAUGAACUAUAAAGGUGGACCUAGAACAAAAGGACAAGAUUCAUAUCUAGUCACAUCACCUUGGACAAUGCAUAGCACUCUAUUUGAUCACAUGGAAAGGCAUUAGGAAAACCUCGGAAAUUCCAUAUCACCCAGGCAUUUCUGGCCUCUGUAAAUGACAUUAGGUGAUUUGUGGAGAAUUUAGUGCUUUUUUUCCCCCAAUUUAGACAUGGGAAGAGUAACCAGAUAUACCUGAAAACAAAUUUUUCUUAAUUUUUUAUUUCAGAGAGAGAGAGAGAGAGAGAGAGAGAGAGAGAGAGAGAGACUGAGCAUGCAAACAAGGGAGAGGGACAGAGGGAGAG